UACAGGGGGGGGCAAGCGUUGUUCGGAAUUACUGGGCGUAAAGGGCCAGUAGGCGGCCAACUAAGUCCGACGUGAAAUCCCAAGGCUUAACCUUGGAACUGCGUCGGAUACUGGAUGGCUUGAAUUCGGGAGAGGGAUGCAGAAUUCCAGGUGUAGCGGUGAAAUGCGUAGAUAUCUGGAGGAAUACCGGUGGCGAAGGCGGCAUCCUGGACCGACAUUGACGCUGAGGAGCGAAAAGCUAGGGGAGCAAA
rnacentral:rRNA from 1 species